CCAUUCUGUUGGUUAUACAGUAUUUUUUAGCAAUAAUGUUAAUAUUUUUCCCAAUUUGUCUUUUCUUUGUUGUUGGUUUCUGAUAAAUACUCUGUCAUAUUAAGGAAGUCUCUUUCUAUUUUUAGUAUAUAAAGCAUUUUGAUAAAAAAUGAUUCUGUAUUUUCUUUCCUUUUGUUGAUUAGUUAAAUUAUAGUAAUGUACAUAAAUAUGUAAAUAGAGCUUCUGAAGUUGAGUCAUCCUUGCAUUCUUGAAAAAUGUCUUUUUGUGGUCGUGGUUUGUCAUCCUCUAAUAAUUGCUGGAUUCAAUGUGCUGAUAUUUUCUUAGGAUUUUUAUAUCUAUGUCUGUAAGUUGAAAUAGGGCCUUUUUUGAAAAAACUUGAUUAUUUUUCUUUUCGUAUAUAUAAAUGACCCAAAUUAUGUUGUUUUGUUAGAUAUUUGAUUAAUGUAGAAGGCAUGAGGCCAGAUGAUAUGAUUGAAUUAUUCAAUAGGUGCCAGGGACAUUGCUUAGAAAGAAAAAACUACAUUGAAGACCUUCAGAAUGGUCCUAUCAGAAAGAAUUGGAAUUUCAGUGUACCCAGGUCAAGUGGUUUUGAAGACUCAGCACAUUUCAUGAAGCCAGUUCACCCCAUGAAUUAGCAUGCUAAACAAGGACCUAGGUGUAAUCUACAUGAGAUCCAGGGUCACACAACUCCUUGGCAUUUCCACACCCAGACCCAAAAUUUGCAACAAUGAGUCACGGUACCUCUCUCUGCUUUCCUUUUCCUAGAAUUGAGGUAGAAAUUAAUACUGUAAUUAAUGAAACACAUUAUGAUA